rnacentral:rRNA from 1 species
GAACGCUGGCGGCGUGCCUAAUACAUGCAAGUCGAACGCACAGCGAAAGGUGCUUGCACCUUUCAAGUGAGUGGCGAACGGGUGAGUAACACGUGGACAACCUGCCUCAAGGCUGGGGAUAACAUUUGGAAACAGAUGCUAAUACCGAAUGAAACUUAGUGUCGCAUGAUACGAAGUUAAAAGGCGCUUUGGCGUCACCUAGAGAUGGAUCCGCGGUGCAUUAGUUAGUUGGUGGGGUAAAGGCCUACCAAGACAAUGAUGCAUAGCCGAGUUGAGAGACUGAUCGGCCACAUUGGGACUGAGACACGGCCCAAACUCCUACGGGAGGCUGCAGUAGGGAAUCUUCCACAAUGGGCGAAAGCCUGAUGGAGCAACGCCGCGUGUGUGAUGAAGGCUUUCGGGUCGUAAAGCACUGUUGUAUGGUGAAGAACAGAUAGAGGUAGUAACUGGCCUUUAUUUGACGGUAAUCAACCAGAAAGUCACGGCUAACUACGUGCCAGCAGCCGCGGUAAUACGUAGGUGGCAAGCGUUGUCCGGAUUUAUUGGGCGUAAAGCGAGCGCAGGCGGAAAAAGAAGUCUGAUGUGAAAGCCCUCGGCUCAACCGAGGGAUUGCAUCGGAAACUGAUUUUCUUGAGUGCAGAAGAGGAGAGUGGAACUCCAUGUGUAGCGGUGGAAUGCGUAGAUAUAUGGAAGAACACCAGUGGCGAAAGCGGCUCACUGGUCUGUAACUGACGCUGAGGCUCGAAAGCAUGGGUAGCAAACAGGAUUAGAUACCCUGGUAGUCCACACUGUAAACGAUGAAUACUAAGUGUUGGGAGGUUUCCGCCUCUCAGUGCUGCAGCUAACGCAUUAAGCACUCCGCCUGGGGAGUACGACCGCAAGGUUGAAACUCAAAGGAAUUGACGGGGACCCGCACAAGCGGUGGAGCAUGUGGUUUAAUUCGAAGCAACGCGAAGAACCUUACCAGGUCUUGACAUCCUUUGAAGCUUUUAGAGAUAGAAGUGUUCUCUUCGGAGACAAAGUGACAGGUGGUGCAUGGUCGUCGUCAGCUCGUGUCGUGAGAUGUUGGGUUAAGUCCCGCAACGAGCGCAACCCUUAUUGUUAGUUGCCAGCAUUCAGAUGGGCACUCUAGCGAGACUGCCGGUGACAAACCGGAGGAAGGCGGGGACGACGUCAGAUCAUCAUGCCCCUUAUGACCUGGGCUACACACGUGCUACAAUGGCGUAUACAACGAGUUGCCAACCCGCGAGGGUGAGCUAAUCUCUUAAAGUACGUCUCAGUUCGGAUUGUAGUCUGCAACUCGACUACAUGAAGUCGGAAUCGCUAGUAAUCGCGGAUCAGCACGCCGCGGUGAAUACGUUCCCGGGUCUUGUACACACCGCCCGUCACACCAUGGGAGUUUGUAAUGCCCAAAGCCGGUGGCCUAACCUUUUAGGAAGGAGCCGUCUAAGGCAGGACAGAUGACUGGGGUGAAGUCGUAACAAGGUAGCCGUAGGAGAACCUGCGGCUG